UCGCAUCCGCCAACCGGUUCAGCCGUGUCGCGGAAGGUUUUCAAACCACCAAAUGCUUUCCCGAGGAAAGCGGAGGUCAGCG
rfam:Burkholderiales bacterium RIFCSPHIGHO2_12_63_9 rifcsphigho2_12_sub10_scaffold_2139, whole genome shotgun sequence.